UGGGGAAUUUUGGACAAUGGGCGAAAGCCUGAUCCAGCAAUGCCGCGUGUGUGAAGAAGGCCUUCGGGUUGUAAAGCACUUUUGUCCGGAAAGAAAUCCUCUGGGUUAAUACCUCGGGGGGAUGACGGUACCGGAAGAAUAAGCACCGGCUAACUACGUGCCAGCAGCCGCGGUAAUACGUAGGGUGCAAGCGUUAAUCGGAAUUACUGGGCGUAAAGCGUGCGCAGGCGGUUUUGUAAGACGGAUGUGAAAUCCCCGGGCUUAACCUGGGAACUGCAUUCGUGACUGCAAGGCUAGAGUAUGGCAGAGGGGGGUUAGAAUUCCACGUGUAGCAGUGAAAUGCGUAGAGAUGUGGAGGAAUACCGAUGGCGAAGGCAGCCCCCUGGGCCAAAUACUGACGCUCAUGCACGAAAGCGUGGGGGAGCAAACAGGAUUAGAUACCCUGGUAGUCCACGCCCUAAACGAUGUCAACUAGUUGUUGGGGAUUCAUUUCCUUAGUAACGUAGCUAACGCGUGAAGUUGACCGCCUGGGGAGUACGGUCGCAAGAUUAAAACUCAAAGGAAUUGACGGGGUCAUAGCUGUUUCC
rnacentral:rRNA from 1 species